rnacentral:lncRNA from 1 species
UCCAAACUUCUCCUCCCCACGGCUUCAAAGUACCUUUAUGCCUAAAGUAUUCAUAGGCAAUUUUUGUUGAGAAUUUAUCAUGCACAGAACAGCCCAGAUUUUGAGUCGAAGAUUCAAAAAACUGCCUACCGAAGAAAGCUGUCUGCCGGCCAAAAAUGCUGCUGAAUGAAGGGCCCAAAUUCUGGUCGUGCAGAGCACUCUCAACUCCAAAAAACCGUCCAUUUAAUGCCCUUCCAUCACUGGACGUGUCCCCGUUAACCCCCUGAUCAAUCUGAA